rnacentral:rRNA from 1 species
CGAUGCAACGCGAAGAACCUUACCUGGUCUUGACAUCCCGGAGACCCUUAGGAAACUAGGGGUGCUUCCAUCUGGAAGAAUCUGGAGACAGGUGCUGCAUGGCUGUCGCCAGCUCGUGUCGUGAGAUGUUGGGUUAAGUCCGCAACGAGCGCAACCCUUGCCUUUAGUUGCCAGCAGUUCGGCUGGGCACUCUAAAGGGACUGCCGGUGUUAAACCGGAGGAAGGUGGGGAUGACGUCAAGUCAUCAUGGCCCUUACGGCCUGGGCUACACACGUGCUACAAUGGUCGGUACAAAGGGUUGCCAAGCCGCGAGGUGGAGCUAAUCCCAUAAAACCGAUCGUAGUCCGGAUCGCAGUCUGCAACUCGACUGCGUGAAGUCGGAAUCGCUAGUAAUCGUGAAUCAGAAUGUCACGGUGAAUACGUUCCCGGGCCUU